AUUAGCAACGUUAAUUUACAGUGAUGGAUGAUGUUGUUUUGCUGAAACAACACUGGAAAGUGCAAUCUUUCCCAUGUGACCAGGGGCAGAGGAGAACCAGAUAUUGGAAAUCGGUGUUGGACAUUCCCAACCUUCCAACUCCUCCUAUGGACUCUGAUACUUUUUGCCCAGGGAUCAGUGAACCCUAUGUGGAAUUGAAUUUCUUCUUCCAUUCCGUAUUCUAAGAUCUCCUGGGGAAAGGGGGCAAUAUGAAACCAAAAUGCAUCAGAUAACCCUUCUUGUUGGUAGGAGUUGUUGCUAAGGGGAAUGUAGGGUUGUGCGUAGAUUUCAACUAGAUAAACUUUUGACCUCCUUUCAUUGGUUUCUGGUUGCCGCGGCUGUUAGAGGAUUAUCCAUAAUGCUGUCUCCCCAGAACCGCCGGCCUCCUGCACAAGGCGGUAGCACGGCAGGCAGGCACAUGCCCGCUCCAGAAACUCCCACAUUGAUUUCUGAAUGACAGGAACACGUCUACUAGGCCUGCCUUACAUUGUAAGCGGAUCCACUUGAAAGCGCAGCCAGCUCGUGCAUUGUGAUGUAAAUGGUGUUCCGCACUUUCAUCUCCUAAGUGUUUCACAAACACGGACUAAUUAAUAAUCCUCUUUCCAGUGCUGCCAGGGAGGAGUUGUAAGGAGAGAGUGAUGGGUGGCUUUCCAGACAAACACAUGUUAAUUUUUAUCCCAGGCUAAGGGGAAAGAAACAAAAACGUGUAGAUCGGAAUACUUACUGUGUCUGCCACGAUGACAUUUUAUUGAAACUUCACAACGAUCUUUGCAGGAAAACAUUCUUGGCAUAGAGGUCUCCUCACCACCAUUCUUACAGAUGGGGAAAUUGCAGCUCAUAAAGAAAAUACAGCUUUCCUGUUCAAAGUGGGAUCAGCUUUAGGAUAAUAGCAAAGAACACCCCCUUCAAUACUACCAAUGGCGUGACGGUUCAUGUGCCAUUUCAACGGGUUUGCUGGAGCCAGGAUCCAGUGGAGAAAGGGAAGAAGGUAGUCCCGGAGCUGGUUCUCAAUUGCAAGGUCAAAGGGAAGCUGCUGCGUGGUGGAGGAAUGAAGGAGCUCACAGCACAACAUAGCUCCCCGUUUCUAGAAUGACCACGGUGUACUGCAGAGAGUGUGAAGACACCCAGACUGAGAUGCUCUUAUAAGACCUUUUCCACCCCCCCACCCUCAGAAGCACUCAAAAGAAAAUAGGAUCGUGAGAAAGAGAGGCAUGGCUUUCAUCGUUUAUGAAACAGGGAAAACAAGUUACCUCCAAUCACAAUUCACGAGAAAGGGAUGGCAAUGGCCGUGAAAACCAAGUAGGAAUGUGCAAAGACUGAGAAAGAAUGCUCCUGCUGCCGAUGUCAGACAAAGCUGGUGGGACACCGUGGGACUGUCCUGAGCACCCAAAUCAACAAGCUCCCGUUUGAAACAAUUUGCAUGAACGUGAGGUUUGACUGCAGACAUGUCUCUGGGCUUACUUGGCAGAGAGGAAGCCCAGCGGGCAGAACCGAAUGAGGGAAUUGCCCAAACCGGCCAUAUUGGGAGACACAGCCAGUCAGGGAGGAAGGGUAGUCUGCAUCAUGGGCAAUUGCACAAAUGCUGGCUUAUUUUGCCCAGGAAAUAGUAAAAUCUAAAAUAGGUCCAUCUCUCUCUGCUUCUCUCCCCCACCCUUCCUCUCAUAUACACAUGCACACACGCCUCUGAAAUAAGAAUUCCUGCUAACCUGGUAUGCAACCCUAAAGCCUACCCUCUCAAACUUCUGGCAAAUAGCUGGUCCAGGGAAAACUCACUUCAAUCAAAGAUAAAUAUAAUAUUACCAAAAUAUAUUAAAAUAGGAUUUAUAGACCUAUACUAUGAGGGGAAAACAGGAAAAAGAAAAGGAAAACAAAUGACAGUUGAUGAACACUCGCCAGGAAACACAAAAGAACUUUUCAUAGAGCCGAUGGUAAUUCUGAUCAAGCUCAUGGCCAUAACAACAAAUUAAAAAAACAAGUUUUCUAUAAAACUAUAGCUGAAAACAGAGAUGCAACAGUUCAAUGAAAAUAAGCAACAAAAUAGGAAAUGAUAGGAUAUAUGAAAAUAGUGAAAGAAAAAAAUAAAACCAUGUGAGAAAUUUAAGGCCACGUUAUAAGGCACAUAAAAGAGGGCAAGAGUGAGAAAUGUAGCAAGUGUGCAGAUGUCCUGAGAGAGCAGAACAGAGAGACUAUGACGGAUCAGAAUGAUGGAGAAUAGAGAUCCCACAUGUGCACGACUGGUGUCUCCGGCAGGAAAAACCAGAAGGAAGGAACAGAGAGUAUAUUUUAAUAUUAUCCUUAAAGUCUUCAGAAAUAGAAGAAAAUAAGGCUUGACUCCACACAUUGAAAGAGAACACUGUCUCCCCGGGGGGAAAACAAGGACACAGAACAAUCAACACCAAGAUACACCCUGGUAAAGUCGCUGGGCUUCGAAUAUAAAGACAGACAAAAAGUGCCCUGCAGCCACUCUGAACUUCGUGCAGUUUGUUGAAUGCACCAAAGGCUCUCUGAGAUUCGAGUGCAUGGCUAACAAGUCAUGUCAUAUCUGGAAAAGGAAUGGAAUGUAUGUUCCCCUAAAAGGCCCAUAUUCUGAUUCCGGGAUUAUAUCUGAGCAAGAGAAUCCAUGUGGGGAGGCCUGGUCCAGCCCUGCCUUCCCUGUAAAGAAGGAACCUUCUGUGACCACCACGACUCCCUCUGCUGUCUCCUCUGAGCUUCUACAGGAGGGUCAGUUUGUGCAGCCACCAUCAGAGCUACCAGGGGACAUGAGACCGAGUGAGACGCCGGCUCCUUGCCUACCCAAGUGUGUCCAUCGUGUUCGUUUGGCGGGCAACACUCCCCCCCUGCAAAGAGCUCAUAGUGCUUUCCUCGUUAUUGGUCCAUCAGAGUUCAAAUCACCAGAGAAACGUAGAGGGAACUGCAGGAUCCAAAAGGGGGUUGGGACGUCGCAGUGACUCCACAGCAAUGAAGCUAGAGCCGCUGCCUUCGUGGAGCUGAGUCGCGGCUCCUGCAGCCACACCCCCAGCCGCCUGACCAGAAGUUUGCAUGGCUGGGGACCCUGGAGGAGCUCUUCAGGCUGAUUCAAACCUGACUUUGGCACCUGCUAUCCACUUGACCAGCGUGCAACCAGAAUUCUUGGAACUCGCUGGUCUCUGUCUGUACCUGCCAAGGGAACGUGCAUGCACUGAGGAUGGAAAACCGAUCAGGGGAGCAGUCAUCACUGUGUGGCAUCUGAUGGGCAGGAAAAACUGAAGAGGAAAACGGGAGGAUGGAGGACGUGCUGGAAGAUCCGACGGUGGGACUCGAUGACAUGACUGGAAAGCAAACGCACAAUCAAUCCUCCUUUAGUGACGGGGCUGGUCUGAAUGUUAAGGUCUUUCUCUAGUAUGCACAUUUGGCACACGGUUACCGAAAAAUUAUUAAUUUCCAGGCAUUGAUCCAGAUUGCAGAGAUUAAAAAAUUGCAACAACAUUCCCACCCUGUCCAGUGGGAGGAACAGACACAACUAGUACAGUAAUGAUCCUAUUAGAGGAGUGUACACAAUGCUAAGGCGAUGGGCAUCAGCAGUGACACUGGAACAGGUCUUAAUUCAUGAGUAGAAGUCUGGCAAGAGAAGACAGAGACCCAACGUGUCUGAAAAAAAAAAAAUCAUCCUAUCUACCCAGCAAUGAAAACUGCUUAGUCACCCUCAAAAGAAGUCCUAUCUGGGAGCUAUGUGCCUCCCCGGUAACUCCUGUGACUCUGGGGGUUUGGCCUGGAGGGUUAAUAUCUUCUCUGAAAGUGCCAUCUCUGUGGGCCAUUUCCUCAUUAAAUGUAAAAGUUUAUUAA